AGGCAGUAGUAGUUUAGUUAUAUUUGUUAUUUACAAUUAGUCUGAAGUUUUGUUUAAUCUCCGUUGUUUCUUCGAUUUGCAUUUCCUUUGUUUUAUAUAUUUUCCAGGUAUGUCAAAAGCAGAAACGAUAAACAACUCUUGCAUGGUCCGAAGUAUCAUGACAGAAGUUCCUGUCAACCUGUUGAGUUGAACAACGGUCAACCCAUUGUUCCUUGUGGAUUGAUAGCAUGGAGUUAUUUAAUGAUUCAUUUACAUUUAUUCGCGAGAGAGCAGAACUUAAAGUUAACAGGAAGAACAUUGCCUGGAAGAGUGUCGGGAUCACAAAUUUGGAAAAAGCAUUCAUCCUUUCAAUUUCCAAAAUGGAACCUUGAUCGGUGGUGGGAAACUGAAUCCAGAAAUUCCUCUAAGCGACCAGAGGAUCUUAUUGUAUGGAUGCGUACAUCUGCUCUCCCUAGCUUCCGGAAAUUGUACGGUAGAAUCGAGAGGACCUGGAUGUCGAUGAUGUCAUAGUAGUCAAUCUAUGAACAACUACAACACUUACAGUUUUGGCGGUAAAAGAAGCUUGUCCUUUCAACAUCAAGCUGGUUGGGGGGAAAGAAUGACUUCCUCGGCCAUGCUUGCUUCCUUGUCGGUAGUUCUUCUCUUAUCCUCGCCAUCUUCUUCACGCUACUCCAUCUAAAAUAUCGAAGGCCUUACGGAGGCG